CCUACGGGUGGCAGCAGUGAGGAAUAUUGGUCAAUGGGCGGAAGCCUGAACCAGCCAAGUAGCGUGCAGGAUGACGGCCCUACGGGUUGUAAACUGCUUUUAUACGGGAAUAACGCGCCUUACGUGUAGGUCUUUGCAUGUACCGUAUGAAUAAGGACCGGCUAAUUCCGUGCCAGCAGCCGCGGUAAUACGGAGGGUCCGGGCGUUCUCGGGAUUGAUUGGGUUUAAGGGGAGCGUGGGCCGCAUGUCACGCGUGCGGUGAAAUGUACGGGCUCAACCCGGGCCUUGCAGCGAGUACUGGCGUGCUGGGGUCAGCGGAGGGCAGGGGGAAGUCGAGGGGUAGCGGGGAAAUGCUUGGAUAUGACGAAGAACCCAGAGGGCGAAGGGAGCUUGCUGCAGCGGAACUGACGCUGAUGCUCGAAAGCGGGGGUAUCGAACAGGAUUAGAUACCCUGUAGUC
rnacentral:rRNA from 1 species